GAGCAGUCAUAGAAAGCUAUGAUAGAGAACAAGGGUGUAGAGAAAUCAACAUGUGGCUAGAAGAUGAGAGGUUAGAGGAAGCAAGUUACUGCCUACUGCCAACAUUUUGUUUUAGAUAUAUUACUGAGGGGAUUGAGAUGAGAUGUAGAUUUCUAGCACUUACAUCCCUACGGUGGCCCCAGGAGAGAGCCCCCUGGCCAAAGUGCACGGAAGGGCUGAAAGAGAAGCCCCCUGGCCAUGGCAGCCCCCGGACGGAUCUGUUUCUCCUUUUUCUGUAUGAUACGUGGGAUUUUGGAAGGCCCAGAAAUUGGGAGACAUUGAUAUGUUGAGGGAUUUCCCUUUCAUUGUGGUCCCCGGACAGGAGCAGCAGUGGGAGGCUUUGUUGUAUGGUGACCUGUGAGACAUUUUGUGUGAAUCCAAAUGGAGGGGUUUGACACAGGCAACUGAAAACUUGUUGCAGCCUUAGAGAAAUCUGCUUUGAGCUGUAGAUGUUAAUGUCUUAAUGGGGAGGGUGGUUUCUCCACCCCAGCUCUAUGGGUGCUAAUUGCUGCAGAGGGAUUACAGCAAAUUAAGCAUUUGGCUAUGCAUGCUGUCUGAGCUGUAGCUGAGGAUGGAAUGCAAAGGCAGUCUUUUAUUAGUAUUAAGCAACAGUCCCAAGAACCAUAUAUGUCAUUUGUGGAUAGGCUUAAGAACUCGUUGGAAAAACAGGUUGAUAACAAGCAGGAGAGAGCUCUUGUGUUUCAACAGCUAGUGAUUGAAAAUGUGAAUGCUGACUUCGAAAAAUACUGCAUGCUCUGAAGAAUCCCACUACUAAGGAACUGAUGCAACAAAAGCUGCUGGAGUGGAAGCUAUCGGAUCUCAGCAACUGGAAGCAAGGAGUAUGUCCAAGAUGGAUACCAGCAUGAUGAGUCUGGCCAUAUCAUCAUUUGCUGUAACAUGAACACAGUACUUUCGUCAGUGGUUUGGACUCUCACCGACAAGACGCUUUGUCAGCUGCCUCACCAAGGAGUCACAAAAAUUGGAAUCCUUGGGUUAGGUUAAUAUGGACUAUUGUUUGUGCUCUAAAGAACCCAUCGUUUUUCUUCUUUCUCUACUAAGAAGAGAAGGGGGAGAUGUGGGAUAAAGAAAGUCAUUAUCAUGCUAAUGAGUAAAAAAGCUUAGUAACUUAAGCCAGAUGUAAACACACACAAGGCACCUGGCUCCCACAUGUAACCAGUUGUUCUUGCACGGGUAUAAAAGGUUGUAAGCACUUUCAAUAAAGAUCCUUCAUUCUGCACCAGCAA